GAUUCCUACGGGAGGCAGCAGUGGGGAAUAUUGCGCAAUGGGCGGAAGCCUGACGCAGCAACGCCGCGUGAGGGAUGACGGCCUUCGGGUUGUAAACCUCUUUCAGCUCCGACGAAGCUUUCGGGUGACUGUAGGAGCAGAAGAAGCACCGGCUAACUACGUGCCAGCAGCCGCGGUAAUACGUAGGGUGCGAGCGUAGUCCGGAAUUAUUGGGCGUAAAGGGCUCGUAGGCGGCUUGUCACGUCUGCUGUGAAAGCUCGGGGCUUAACUCCGGGUCUGCAGUGGAUACGGGCAGGCUAGAGUCCGGUAGAGGAGACUGGAAUUCCUGGUGUAGCGGUGAAAUGCGCAGAUAUCAGGAGGAACACCGGUGGCGAAGGCGGGUCUCUGGGCCGGAACUGACGCUGAGGAGCGAAAGCGUGGGUAGCGAACAGGAUUAGAUACCCUGGUAGUCCACGCCGUAAACGUUGGGCGCUAGGUGUGGGGAGCAUUCCACGUUCUCCGUGCCGCAGCUAACGCAUUAAGCGCCCCGCCUGGGGAGUACGGCCGCAAGGCUAAAACUCAAAUGAAUUGACGGGG
rnacentral:rRNA from 1 species